AAGGCAGACAGGACGUGUUUUCCCUGCUCUGACCAUGGCCCGUGGUUACUAGGGAAGGGAGGUGGCGACCCAGGUCAACAUGAGCAGGUGCAGUGGGUGAGGGGACAGGGACAGGAUGCCUGGAGUGCCAGGGAGGCAUUAGUGCGAGAGGAAUCAGGUGUGAGAGGAGUCGGGUGCCGGGUUGUGAUUGGAGAGGCGAGAACAGCCCCCGAAUCCAGGAAGGGCACCUGCUUCCGUGGGACGAUCCUCGGAGAGGGACGCCCCACCCUGCCUGUGUUUGCCUUGCUCUGUGUGUUCAGCCCGCAGGCUCCGGAGGAGGGAGCAGAGGGCGCGGAGCCCGGCUCAGUGGACGGCCCAGCGCGGCGCAGCGGCAGCCGGAGACGAGGCACCCCGAGCAGGAGCAGCCCCAGGGGACACAGGGCACUGCCGACACGCCCGCCAGGGGCCCGACAGGAACAAUGGGUAACGAAAUGAGUGUCCCAAAAAGAGUUGAAGACCAAGAGAAUGAAUCAGAGACAGACGCUAACAAGGUAGUAUAGUUAUGGCCACUGGGUCAUUAGCUACUAGUAGCUAGAUUUGGCGAUGACAGCAGGAUCAAUGGCCUGUUCGGUGCUAAUCACACAUUCAUUACUGAUGAUGCACUGCUGUUCCCGUGGACUGUUCAGUUGCAUUCAAACCUCCAGAAUCCAUCCAGGAGCUCAUUAAAGAUGCAAACACUAAGGCCCCCCCUCCCAAGACUUACUGAACCCAAAAUUACAAGGCUGGGAGCCUGUGCAACCUAUGUCUUUAAGGAACUCCAAGGUGCAUCAUAUAGGGCCAGUUUGGUACCUGCUGUCAGGUGCUUCUCCGCUGUGGGUGAUUUUUGCCUGCCUCCACCAGCGGACACUUGGCUAGAGACAUUUUUUAUUGGUCACAGCUCAGGGCUACCUAUCUAGCCAGUGAAGUCCAGAGAUGCUACUAAUCAGAGCACAGGACAGCCCCCCACAACAGAGGAUGGCCUGGCCCCCAAUGUCACUAGUGCUGAGGAUGGGAAACCCAAUUUAGGUCAGUAGCUUGCAGCGUUGGCUACUUUGGGAUCAUCUGGGGGAUUAAAAUAUUGUUGCCAGAAUAGCACCCUAGAUUGAUUAAAUCAGAAUCUGAAAAAAAAAAAAAAUCAGAAUCUGUGUGUGGGAGUGAGGGCAGUCAUCUGCAUUUUCAGUGUAGCCAAGCUGGGGAACUAUGAGUUCAGGAACCCUUAUUUUAGGAGACUGCUCUGGAGGGCAGAGGCCGAGGACACCCAAACGCUGCUCUUUAGAUCUUCUAUGACCAAGUGGCAGAAAGCCUACAUUUCUACCAUCUAAUGCUUCUGAAAUCGACCCCAUUUAAGACUGGGAAGCCCAGUUAAACAUGGAAACUUCUGUAGGAGGCAGAUAAUACCUACGGACCAAUAUGGAUCAUAUCAUUGGAGAAUUCCAGCUCAGAACAGAAGGCUGGAGGUGAAGCAAUGGGCUCUAGCGCCUGCAUAGUGGGUGCCAAGCCCAACGGCUAAGCCCACCAUCGAGCAGCUUUGCAAACUCCCAUGGCCUGGCCCCACCUGACAGCAACCGAAACACAGCCUCUAGCUGGGGGCUCAGGCAUCAGAGGUCCCUCAAGCUCCCAAGCGCCUUCUCCUAGGCUGGGAAACUUGGGCCUCCAGGGGCUCGGGUGGUGACAUAAGUAAAGGAAGCAGGCUGGGUGGGGUCCUCAGGGGACGGGAGACCAAGGGUCCAUUUGCAGAUGGCUGGCUCUGGCCAACAGGUACCAACCAUCCAGAUGUUCCCAGUCUUGUUUCUCAUUAGCAGCUGGAGACCAGUGUUCAUGAAAUCUCCUGCUUUUCAAAUAUUGGCAACCGAUUCCCAGAGAGACCUGAAAACAAAAACUCUGUGAGCCAAAUAAAUCCGAUUGGCACGCCCAGGAUGGCCCCCCAGGGAUGGCAGGGGUGAGCUCCGGACCAAAUGGUCACAUAGGUUCGACGUUUCCUUGUGGUAAUUGCUUGGGAGGGUUAAUGACAGAUUCAAGAAUGCAGGCUGAUUUUUAAACAAUUAUCAAAACGUAAAGAAAGGAAAAGUCUUCUGUGCUCCUCCCACCCCCACCCCAGGAGUCCCACUGCAGGAGCUUCCAUUCAGACUUGAGUUUUCUCUCCGUGCCCCUAUUAACAUAUAUUACACCACUGAUAGGAUUAGCAAAAUACGAUACCCCGCGCAGCGUACUUAGCACAUAAUCAAUAUUCAAUUAGUGUCAACUAUCGGUGAUAUAAUGUAGAUGGUCUUAUUACUAAAAUAGCAUUAGGUAACAUAUGUUCUGGUAACAUUUCUCUUUCUGUGUGAGUAUAUGCAUCCGGACGCACACACACACAUGAAAGCUUUUUAAAUUUCUGCAGCAAAUGACAGUUAUAGAAGCAAUCAGGGCAGGGGCCUAAAAUCAGA
rnacentral:lncRNA from 1 species